UACGUAGGUGACAAGCGUUGUCCGGAUUUACUGGGCGUAAAGAGCGCGCAGGCGGUCGUUCAAGUCGAGUGUGAAAGCCCCCGGCUCAACUGGGGAGGGUCAUUCGAUACUGAUCGACUCGAAGGCAGGAGAGGGUAGUGGAAUUCCCGGUGUAGUGGUGAAAUGCGUAGAUAUCGGGAGGAACACCAGUGGCGAAGGCGGCAUCCUGGACCAUUACUGACACUGAAUAGCGAAAGCCAGGGGAGCAAACGGG
rnacentral:rRNA from 1 species